AUACGAUUCCUUUUCCCAGCACCAAUAUACUUCUUUCUAUCACAGCUUCCGUUUAAAAGCAUUCAAGGAGUUUCUGAAGCCUACAGCUUGUGAAGAAGAGGAUCUAUGGGGAAUUGGACAUGGAAACAGGAAAACCGGGAACAGAAGACCUGAGGCAGGGACCAAAGUUAACCUGCAGAAUCGAAGAGCAAGAGAAGCUGUAAACCCAAUGAGUCUCGAGUGCAUGAGCAUUGGAAUCCCCCGACCUGGAGUUGGACAAACCAAAUGUGGAAUCAAAGUGCCUCAUCUGCUGGAAGAACACACUUUACAUAAAAGAGGAUGAGAUUUGGAGAAUGAGAACAUUACUGGAGCCUGACGUGGGGGAAACCAACAAGCCAGGAAGGACGAAAUCAGUUGAGGGUAAGGAACGAAUGCAGAUACUUCACAUCCUCCCAGAAUCAAAGAUUCAUGAGCCACGUGAAGGUUUUGUUCAUGAAUCUAUUUCUGAUGCUGUGGUCUGGAGUGCCACUACCAGCUGAGGUUCUUUUUCUCCCUUCGAGCAGCACAGACGUGGAGUGACUUAUCUCACCGACAAAGGCCAUUCCGCGUCCUGGGUUCUGUUCCACGCCCUGCCCAUCUUUGCUGUGCUGUUUGGGGCGUCGCUUCCACGUGGGCAGGCAGGAUCUCUCAAGGCCUAUUGUGGGCUUCUGUUGUUCAGUUUAUGUUCCUUGUGGACUAAAUACGGUGCGGAUGAAUUUGUUCCAUUCAUCCUUUUUUUCCCCCGGCAGUAUGUCAUGUUUGGAUGACCCCCAGCCCUCACUUCAGUCAGCAAGGCCGAGUAGCUAGACAUGUUAGGUGUAGUAAUUGUGGAUUUACUAAAAUCCCACACACAUCAAAGGCUCCCUGAGAAGCUCUAAUAUGUGCUAAGGACACGUUAUAUGCUGGUAUGAUUUCUGCCAUUCUGUUUCUAUAAUAAUUUAAAAAACGAGAAAGCAAAGAAUUGCAGAAUGUUAUUUUUGACAAAAGACAAUGUAAUUUUCUUUUCUUUUAUUAGCAGCCCAAACAAGAUAUUGGGUAACAAUAUUGCCCACCAUCCUUUCUGCCAUUUGCAAGGGCAAAUGGAGCUUUUAAU
rnacentral:lncRNA from 12 species